UACGGAGGGUGCAAGCAUUAAUCGGAUUUAUUGGGCGUAAAGGGCGCGUAGGCGGAAAGAUAAGUCAGAUGUGAAAUCCCGGGGCUCAACCCCGGAACAGCAUUUGAUACUGUUUUUCUUGAGGGUAGGCGGAGAAAAUGGAAUUCCACAAGUAGCGGUGAAAUGCGUAGAUAUGUGGAAGAACACCAGUGGCGAAGGCGAUUUUCUAGCUUAUUCCUGACGCUGAGGCGCGAAAGCAAGGGGAGCAAACAGG
rnacentral:rRNA from 1 species